GCUGCAAUGUGUGCGUCUUCUGUGAUGUAUGAUUGACAGGGAAACCCGGAGGCAGGCGCAGGGUGAUGAAAUCCCGCAGCUUGGCAAAGUGGGCGUUGGAGAUGGCCAUAAGGUCGAUGAUGGGCGUCACCUGCUCAGCCAGUGACAGAGGAUGAACCUCACUCAGCCACAGGGUGGCUUUAAACCUGGAAAGAGAAGAUUUCCCCGGUCACAUCUCUCAAAGUGCACUGAGUGACAGCUGCUGUUUGGAGCUGUCCACUGACCGUGGUGCUGAAACUGACCUCUGAUCCCCAGAGGGACCAAACUUCUCAGUGAAACAACAAACUCACCCCAACUGGUGAACUCCCACUUCAUUUCCACAUAGAAGUCCCGCGCCUGGAAGAAGCAAACAGUUACAGAACAGUCUCACACCUCUUCCCCUCCCUCUUCGUGGCUCUCCCCUGGGCUCCAGUACCAGACUGGAGGAAGACGACUGCUGUUGAUGCUGGAAGGG